rnacentral:misc_RNA from 1 species
UCCGGUUUGACACCGGCAGUCUCGCUAGAGUACUGGCUUGCGCCGAGCAACUAACGACAGGGGUUGCGCUCGUUAAGGGACUUAACCCGACACUUCACAGCACGAGCUGACGACAGCCAUGCAGCACCUGUGCUUGUUCCACCCUUGCGGGCGUGGCUCCUGUUUCCAGGAGUUAAUCCAAGCAUGUCAAACCCAGGUAAGGUUCUUCGCGUUGCCUCGAAUUAAGCAACAUGCUCCACCGCUUGUGUGAGCCCCCGUCAAUUCCUUUGAGUUUUAGCCUUGCGACCGUACUCCCCAGGCGGUGCACUUAUCGUUUUUACUUCGACCGGACCGGCGUCAGAGCCACUCCGAUCUAGUGCACAUCGUUUACGGCGUGGACUAC